AUUGGGGCCAACACAAUCAUUCACUUCCAAAAUUUGUGUUUCUUGUUUCUACAUGCUCAGGCUCUGCUAGUUUAGACGUUUUGUUUCUUAAGAGUAAAUGCUUCCACCAGGGGACACUUUACGGGUUCUACCAAACCUGAAUAUGAGCCAUGCCAAGAUGAAUAUAUCACUAGACAGUUAGUACAAGAUUCAGUGAUACAGGUUUAUUGAGGGUUAAGAGAUAAUCCACCUAAAAGCUCCUAAAACACUGUAUGCUUGGUAACAAAAGUAUUUUAAAUAUACAGCCUCGUUCAAACAGAAAACAACCACGUGCUGCAAAUGCAUAAUAACUUUACACAAUAAGGGACUAUGAGAAUUAAAUAAAAUAUUCCACAGCUUUAGUGGAUCUCCUUGUGCAUGUCCUGGAUCAUUCUCACUCUACUUUGGAAACUGCUACUUUAAAGUAUGAAUUUUGUCUUGUCACACCACUUAUUAUAACCUUUAAAUGGCUCCCAUUUAGUCUCAAAUUUGUUAAUACAAAUUUCUUAAUAAAGCUCCUAAUCUGAUUUGCUGAUUUUUUUUGUUUUUAUUGAGGUGAAAUUCUUUUUUUAAAGAUUUUAUUUAUUUAUUCAUGAGAGACACAC
rnacentral:lncRNA from 12 species